rnacentral:ribozyme from 13 species
UUUUUUGUGUUUUUUCUUUUAUUAUUCUUAUUUUUUUAAAAUUAAAAAAAGAGAAGUU